ACCCCGAAACCAAGUGAGCUAUUUUUAAGCAGUUUAACGGACGCACCCUUCUAUGUAGCAAAAAUAUGUGGGAAGACUUAAAAAUAGAGGUGAAACGCCUACCGAACCUGGAGAUAGCUGGCUACCCAAAACAGAAUCUAAGUUCUGCUUUAGAACGAGCAUUUAAACAAUUAACCGUCUAAAGAUAAUCAAUAGAGGUACAGCUCUAUUGACCCAGGAUACAACCUGAAUUUGCAAGAAACUAUAUUUACCUUUACCCGUAGACCCUCAAGCAGCCAUCCAAAAAAAUAUCGUCAAAGAAUUAACCUAAAUUAAACCCAACACCAACCAAAAACUUCAAAUCAACUAAGGGUGAACCUACACAAGUAGGUAUCAUUAUGCUAAAACUAAUAAUAAGACUACAUCUCUUUUACGCACCCCUUCACUAGAAAUAGAAAAACUACUAGCAAUUAACAGACCACAAAAGGAAUAAACAAACCCAUACACACCUAUAAACUAACUGUAGCCCCAACACAGGGGCGUUAAAAAGAAAGAUUAAAUAUUAUAAAAGGAACUCGGCAACCAAAGACUCCAACUGUUUAACAAAAACAUAACCUUUAGCUAAACAAGUAUUAAAGGCGACGCCUGCCCAGUGAAUAAUUAAACGGCCGCGGUAUCCUAACCGUGCAAAGGUAGCAUAAUCAUUUGUCUAUUAAUUGUAGACCUGUAUGAAAGGCAAAAUGAGAGUCUAACUGUCUCUUAUAAUAAAUCAAUAAAACUGAUCUCCUAGUACAAAAGCUAGAAUACUAACAUAAGACCAGAAGACCCUGUGAAGCUUUAACAAACCCAUUAAACCAAAUAAUGAUAACUUUCGGUUGGGGCGACCUUGGAAUAAAAAAGAACUUCCAACAUAUGAUCACCAUAAAAUAAGGCAAACAAGCCAAUACCAGACCCAGUAUAACUGAUAAUUGAAAUAAGUUACUCCAGGGAUAACAGCGCUAUCUUCUUCAAGAGCCCAUAUCAAAAAGAAGGUUUACGACCUCGAUGUUGGAUCAGGACAUCCCAGUAAUGCACCCGUUACUAAAGGUUCGUUUGUUCAACGAUUAACAGUCCUACGUGAUCUGAG
rnacentral:rRNA from 1 species